UACGGAGGGGGCUAGCGUUGUUCGGAAUUACUGGGCGUAAAGCGCACGUAGGCGGCUUUGUAAGUUAGAGGUGAAAUCCCGGGGCUCAACCUCGGAACUGCCUUUGAUACUGCAAAUCUCGAGUCCGGAAGAGGUGAGUGGAAUUCCUAGUGUAGAGGUGAAAUUCGUAGAUAUUAGGAAGAACACCAGUGGCGAAGGCGGCUCACUGGUCCGGUACUGACGCUGAGGUGCGAAAGCGUGGGGAGCAAACAGG
rnacentral:rRNA from 1 species